CAGAAUUGAUAUUUUAAAUAGAGGAAAAUCAAUUCUACGGUCAUUGGUCAUGAAUUUUCAAAACUUGAAUAAUAAAACAUUUUUAGUAUGUAUUUCAUUGAAAAUUUACGCAAUUGAUUCUAUGAUUUAACGCUUUACUAAUUCCAACGAAUCAAGCACCAUGUUUUACCUUAUGAUUUAUUAAUUUAUGGAGAAGAAGGCAUGUUAAGAAACUCGACUCUAUGAAAACAAUGUGUUGCUGCAGCCGGAAAUAAAAUUCUUUUAUCUUCCACGCUCCAGCGUGUUGCUAUUUAGUAAAGCCUAAGAUGCUUUCAAAUGUAAUCUGCAACGUUACUGAAUAAUAAACUGAUUUAAAAGCAA